rfam:Triticum aestivum genome assembly, contig: Triticum_aestivum_CS42_TGACv1_scaffold_221091_3B
UGACUACUCCCUUCGUCCGAAAAUAUUUGUCAUUCAAAUGAAUAAAAGGGAACAUGUCUAGAUGUAUUUUAGUUUUAGAAACAUCCUUUUUAUCCAUUUUGAUGACAAGUAUUUUCGAACGGAGGUAGUACUAG